AACGAACGCUGGCGGCAUGCCUAACACAUGCAAGUCGAACGAGACCUUCGGGUCUAGUGGCGCACGGGUGCGUAACGCGUGGGAACCUGCCCUUAGGUUCGGAAUAACUCCCCGAAAGGGGUGCUAAUACCGGAUAAUGUCUUCGGACCAAAGAUUUAUCGCCUUUGGAUGGGCCCGCGUUGGAUUAGCUAGUUGGUAGGGUAAAAGCCUACCAAGGCGACGAUCCAUAGCUGGUCUGAGAGGAUGAUCAGCCACACUGGGACUGAGACACGGCCCAGACUAGGACGGGGGGUAGAGGGGGGAAAAAUAGGACAGGGGGUAAACGCGUGAGGAGGGAAUGCGUGGGGUGGGAUGACGUCAUGAGGGUGGAAAAUCUAUGUUACCGGGGACAAUAAGAAAAGGAACGGAAGAAGACCGUCCAGCGAACGCGGGGCAAGAAGCAGCGGUAAUAAUCGAGGAGCACACGUCUGACC
rnacentral:rRNA from 1 species